rnacentral:rRNA from 1 species
GCAGCUAACGCAUUAAAUGAUCCGCCUGAGUAGUAUGCUCGCAAGAGUGAAACUUAAAGGAAUUGACGGGGACCCGCACAAGCGGUGGAGCAUGUGGUUUAAUUUGAAGAUACGCGGAGAACCUUACCCACUCUUGACAUCCUUCGCAAUGCUAUAGAGAUAUAGCGGAGGUUAACGGAGUGACAGAUGGUGCAUGGUUGUCGUCAGCUCGUGUCGUGAGAUGUUUGGUCAAGUCCUGCAACGAGCGCAACCCCUAUCUUUAGUUACUAACGAGUCAUGUCGAGGAUUCUAGAGAUAC